GACGAACGCUGGCGGCGUGCCUAAUACAUGCAAGUCGAACGAGACCUCCGGGACUAGGGGCGCAUGGGUGGGUAGCGCGUGGGAAGCGGCCCUCAGGGUCGGACUAACUCCACGAAAGGGGUACCAAGAGCGAACACUGUCUUCGGACCGAAGAUAUAUCGCCUUUCGAUGGGCCAGAGUGGGAUUAGCUGGUUGGGACGGUAAAAGCCGACUAAGGCGACCAUUCAUAGCUGGUCUGAGAGGAUGAUCAGCCACACUGGGACGGGGACGCGGCCCAGACUCCUACGGAAGGCAGCAAUGCGGAACGUUGGACAAUGGGCGAAUGCAUGAUCCAUCAAUGCCGCGUGAGUGUUGAAGUCCUUAGGGUUGUAAAGCUCAUUUACCCGUGAUGAUCUUGACGGUACCUAAACAAAAAGCUCCGGCUAACUCCGUG
rnacentral:rRNA from 1 species